GUCAUUUCAACUGACAGUGUCUUGAUUUGCUUUUGCAGGGUGGCAUAUUUGUGUUUAACCUGUUCGACUCGUUUUCAGCCGGUUUGUCGCUCUUGUUCAUUGUGUUUUUGGAGUUGAUUGUUGUCGCAUGGAUUUAUGGAGUUGACAGGUUUUCACGAGAUGUUGAAGCCAUGAUAGGUCAUCCAAUUUCAAAAUGGUGGCUGAUUUGCUGGAAGUAUCUGUCACCGCUGAUGGUGUUGAAUCUGCAUGAGGCUAUAUUUGUUCCAGAAGAAAACCAUGCCAAGGAAUUGAAAGUCUGGGAAGGGGGUCAUCAAACGCCAGUGUAUAUGACUGCUUUGUAGCCUCCUUAGAUGGUGGAUUGAAAAGCGCGCUUUACCUAUGACGUUGAAGUGCUAUGUAAUAAGAUACCAGGCGUUCAGUCGUCCAUGUGUUUUAUUAUAUAUUUUUAAGGAAUUUCUUCAUAUUAAGCUGUUCUAAGACUGGCCAAUCACAAUAAAUGUUAUAACGCUGUAGACCAAUCAGAAAACGAAGCAGAAACAUGUAACUGAGGCGAUGGGCGGGAAAAUGCACUUAAAAAAUGACUUUUAGCUGCUGGCUUAAUUGUUCCUAAAUAAACGGACGAAUGAAGAAAAAAAAAUAAACAAAUAAACAGCAAGUUUGGUGUGACUGGUGGAGCACGUUGUGUUUCAACAACAACAACAACAAUAACAAGGUUCAUUUUUACCGCAAAAAAAGCUAAAUCAAUUAAUUGUAAAAUAGUAAUUAGAAAUACAUUCAGUAGCCGGUCACCCAAAAUAACUAUGAAGCUAAAUUAUUUGGGUGACCACCAUCAUGUUUCGAUAGAAAUUUAAGACAAGAAGAACAGAAGAAUGACUCGUAGUCGUAUAGCUGUGUAUUUUAUUCCAUCUAAAAUCAAAAUUAUACAAAAAUAUGUUUUUUCUUAAUACAAUCAUCUGAUUAAUGAACAAAACUAGAAUAAGAUAAUUACAAAUGCCUGAAACGACAACGGAGCGUUAAUGAAACUUAUAAAGGGAAUCACGCGGUUUAUCUUAUGAAACUUUCAAAUGCUUUAAUAACAAAAUCGAAGUUUACUCUUAAUUUAAGUGCGCUGACUUCUAUGGCAAGUCUUCUGGACUUUCUCUGAUCAUGAUUAUCAUAAAUCUGUUUAGCAGUUGAACAGCUUAAAGGAGAAGGUUACUCCAAAAAAUGUAUUUUUUUUUGUCAACACUAAUAAAAACCUUGCACCAAGUUUAGCCAUUCACCGA